rnacentral:misc_RNA from 1 species
GUAGGUGAACCUGCGGAAGGAUCAUUAUUGAAUAAACUUGGUCGGGUUGCUGCUGGCUUUUCGGAGCAUGUGCACGCCUGCCACCAUUUUUACCACCUGUGCACUCUUUGUAGAUCUAGAAUAUCUCUCGAGGAAACUCGGUUUGAGAGAUGCUGUGCGCAAGCCAGCUUCUCUUGCAUUCUAGGUCUAUGUAUUAUUAUACCCCAUACUAUAUUUCAGAAUGUCAUUAAUGGGCCUUGUGCCUUUAAAUUAAUACAACUUUCAACAACGGAUCUCUUGGCUCUC